rnacentral:rRNA from 1 species
GAGAGUUAAACAGUACGUGAAAUUGUUGAAAGGGAAACGAUUGAAGUCAGUCGUACCAACGGGAAAUCAAUUCAUCGAGUGUUGAAUUUGGGUCUUGAAGAGUCUUAAAACCUUUGGGUUCAGAUAUUUUCACUUUUUGAACGUAUUUUCUCGUACGGUAGGUUAACAUCGAUUUUGAACAUUAUAAAAUGAUCGGAGGAAUGUAGCUUCGAUCUUGUAUUGAAGUGUUAUAGCCUUUGGUAGAUGUAAUGAUCGAGAUCGAGGAUUGCAACGAAUACCCUUUUGGGCUAUCCGUCUGAUCUCUGAUACGUUGCCUCGGUAACGAAAGCGUGCUUACGGUAUUGAGGUAUUACGGUCAAAAGGUUAGAACGAGAUUACAUUCGUUAAGGAUGUUGACGUAAUGGCUUUAAACGA